rnacentral:rRNA from 1 species
GCAGUCGAACGGUAACAGGAAGAAGCUUGCUUCUUUGCUGACGAGUGGCGGACGGGUGAGUAAUGCUUGGGAAUCUGGCUCAUGGAGGGGGAUAACUACGGGAAACUGUAGCUAAUACCGCGUAGUAUCGGAAGAUGAAAGUGUGGGACCGCAAGGCCACAUGCCAUGAGAUGAGCCCAAGUGGGAUUAGGUAGUUGGUUAGGUAAAGGCUGACCAAGCCGACGAUCUCUAGCUGGUCUGAGAGGAUGACCAGCCACACUGGAACUGAGACACGGUCCAGACUCCUACGGGAGGCAGCAGUGGGGAAUAUUGCACAAUGGGGGAAACCCUGAUGCAGCCAUGCCGCGUGAAUGAAGAAGGCCUUCGGGUUGUAAAGUUCUUUCGGUGAUGAGGAAGGUGUUUGUUUUAAUAGGACAAGCAAUUGACGUUAGUCACAGAAGAAGCACCGGCUAACUCCGUGCCAGCAGCCGCGGUAAUACGGAGGGUGCGAGCGUUAAUCGGAAUAACUGGGCGUAAAGGGCACGCAGGCGGUGACUUAAGUGAGAUGUGAAAGCCCCGAGCUUAACUUGGGAAUUGCAUUUCAUACUGGGUCGCUAGAGUACUUUAGGGAGGGGUAGAAUUCCACGUGUAGCGGUGAAAUGCGUAGAGAUGUGGAGGAAUACCGAAGGCGAAGGCAGCCCCUUGGGAAUGUACUGACGCUCAUGUGCGAAAGCGUGGGGAGCAAACAGGAUUAGAUACCCUGGUAGUCCACGCUGUAAACGCUGUC